AGCUUGCUCUCGGGUGACGAGUGGCGGACGGGUGAGUAAAGUCUGGGAAACUGCCUGAUGGAGGGGGAUAACUACUGGAAACGGUAGCUAAUACCGCAUAAUGUCGCAAGACCAAAGAGGGGGACCUUCGGGCCUCUUGCCAUCAGAUGUGCCCAGAUGGGAUUAGCUAGUAGGUGGGGUAACGGCUCACCUAGGCGACGAUCCCUAGCUGGUCUGAGAGGAUGACCAGCCACACUGGAACUGAGACACGGUCCAGACUCCUACGGGAGGCAGCAGUGGGGAAUAUUGCACAAUGGGCGCAAGCCUGAUGCAGCCAUGCCGCGUGUAUGAAGAAGGCCUUCGGGUUGUAAAGUACUUUCAGCGGGGAGGAAGGUGUUGUGGUUAAUAACCACAGCAAUUGACGUUACCCGCAGAAGAAGCACCGGCUAACUCCGUGCCAGCAGCCGCGGUAAUACGGAGGGUGCAAGCGUUAAUCGGAAUUACUGGGCGUAAAGCGCACGCAGGCGGUCUGUCAAGUCGGAUGUGAAAUCCCCGGGCUCAACCUGGGAACUGCAUUCGAAACUGGCAGGCUGGAGUCUUGUAGAGGGGGGUAGAAUUCCAGGUGUAGCGGUGAAAUGCGUAGAGAUCUGGAGGAAU
rnacentral:rRNA from 1 species